GGACAGGACCUUCUCAGGUCCACACACAAAGGACUGUAAAACAUUG
rfam:Neotoma lepida isolate 417 scaffold_682, whole genome shotgun sequence.